UACGUAGGUGGCAAGCGUUAUCCGGAAUUAUUGGGCGUAAAGAGCGCGCAGGUGGUUAAUUAAGUCUGAUGUGAAAGCCCACGGCUUAACCGUGGAGGGUCAUUGGAAACUGGUUGACUUGAGUGCAGAAGAGGGAAGUGGAAUUCCAUGUGUAGCGGUGAAAUGCGUAGAGAUAUGGAGGAACACCGAUGGCGAAGGCAGCCUCCUGGGACGCAACUGACGCUCAUACACGAAAGCGUGGGGAGCAAACAGG
rnacentral:rRNA from 1 species